ACGAACGCUGGCGGCGUGCUUAACCCAUGCACGUCGUACGGUAAGGCCCUUUCGGGGGUCCACGAGUGGCGAACGGGUGAGUAACACGUGAGUAACCUGCCCACAACUUUGGGAUAACGCUAGGAAACUGGUGCUAAUACUGGAUAUGUGCUCCUGCUGCAUGGUGGGGGUUGGAAAGCUCCGGCGGUUGUGGAUGGACUCGCGGCCUAUCAGCUUGUUGGUGGGGUAGUGGCCUACCAAGGCGGCGACGGGUAGCCGGCCUGAGAGGGUGACCGGCCACAUUGGGACUGAGAUACGGCCCAGACUCCUACGGGAGGCAGCAGUGGGGAAUAUUGCACAAUGGGCGCAAGCCUGAUGCAGCAACGCCGCGUGCGGGAUGACGGCCUUCGGGUUGUAAACCGCUUUCAGCAGGGACGAAGCUUUUUGUGACGGUACCUGCAGAAGAAGCACCGGCUAACUACGUG
rnacentral:rRNA from 1 species